rnacentral:misc_RNA from 1 species
AGCAGCCGCGGUAAUUCCAGCUCCAAUAGCGUAUAUUAAAGUUGUUGCAGUUAAAAAGCUCGUAGUUGAAUUUCGGGAUUGACGUGAUGGUCGUGCCUUAAGGGGUAUGAACUGUUGCUGUUGAUUUCUCACCUUCUGGAGAAACUUGAUGUCCUUAAUUGGGUGUCUUGCGGAUCCAGGACCUUUACCUUGAAAAAUUAGAGUGUUUAAAGCAGGCAUUUUUGCUCGAAUACAUUAGCAUGGAAUAAUAGAAUAGGACGGCAUGGUUCUAUUUUGUUGGUUUCUAGGAUCACCGUAAUGAUUAAUAGGGAUAGUUGGGGGCAUUAGUAUUCAAUUGUCAGAGGUGAAAUUCUUGGAUUUAUUGAAGACUAACUACUGCGAAAGCAUUUUGCCAAGGAUGUUUUCAUUAAUCAAGAACGAAAGUUAGGGGAUCGAAGACGAUCAGAUACCGUCGUAGUCUUAACCAUAAACUAUGCCGACUAGGAAUCAGACGAUGUUAAUUUUUAAUGUACUCGUUU